rnacentral:rRNA from 1 species
GCUGGCGGCGUGCUUAACACAUGCAAGUCGAACGGAAAGGCCCCUUCGGGGGUACUCGAGUGGCGAACGGGUGAGUAACACGUGGGCAAUCUGCCCUGCACUUCGGGAUAAGCCUGGGAAACUGGGUCUAAUACCGGAUAGGACCACUUGGCGCAUGCCUUGUGGUGGAAAGCUUUUGCGGUGUGGGAUGGGCCCGCGGCCUAUCAGCUUGUUGGUGGGGUGAUGGCCUACCAAGGCGACGACGGGUAGCCGGCCUGAGAGGGUGUCCGGCCACACUGGGACUGAGAUACGGCCCAGACUCCUACGGGAGGCAGCAGUGGGGAAUAUUGCACAAUGGGCGCAAGCCUGAUGCAGCGACGCCGCGUGGGGGAUGACGGCCUUCGGGUUGUAAACCUCUUUCAGCAGGGACGAAGCGAAAGUGACGGUACCUGCAGAAGAAGCACCGGCCAACUACG